UACAGAGGUGGCAAGCGUUGUUCGGAAUUACUGGGCGUAAAGGGCGCGUAGGUGGCCUUCUUAGUCAGACGUGAAAUCCCCGGGCUUAACUCGGGAACUGCGUCUGAUACUGGAAGGCUCGAGUUCGGGAGAGGAAUGUGGAAUUCCAGGUGUAGCGGUGAAAUGCGUAGAGAUCGGGAGGAACAUCAGUUGCGAAGGCGGCUCUCUGGACCAGCACUGACACUGAGGCACGAAAGCGUGGGGAGCAAACAGG
rnacentral:rRNA from 1 species